rnacentral:tRNA from 1 species
UCCCUGGUGGCUUGGUGGUAAAGAAUCUGCCUGCCAAGCAGGAGACAUGGGUUCCAUCCCUGGGUAGGGAA